rnacentral:rRNA from 1 species
GAUGAACGCUGGCGGCGUGCUUAACACAUGCAAGUCGAACGAACCUUCGGGUUAGUGGCGGACGGGUGAGUAACGCGUGAGAAUCUGCCCUCAGGAGGGGGACAACAGCUGGAAACGGGUUGCUAUACCCCAUAUGCCGCGAGGUGAAAUGAAUUUCGCCUGAGGAUGAGCUCGCGUCUGAUUAGCUAGUUGGUGUAGGUAAUGGCUCACCAAGGCAUCGAUCAGUAGCUGGUCUGAGAGGAUGAUCAGCCACACUGGGACUGAGACACGGCCCAGACUCCUACGGGAGGCAGCAGUGGGGAAUUUUCCGCAAUGGGCGAAAGCCUGACGGAGCAACGCCGCGUGAGGGAUGAAGGCCUCUGGGCUGUAAACCUCUUUUAUCAAGGAAGAAGAUCUGACGGUACUUGAUGAAUAAGCCACGGCUAAUUCCGUGCCAGCAGA